GCUUUAAAUGUUAGUCUAACAAACAAAAGCUUAUUUCAAAAUGAGGCUCAUAGACCUGAUGCUGAUUUUAAUGACAUUGUAUAUCUUUGAUGUUUCUGCUGAAAUAAAGCUGCAGGAAUCUGAUCCUGUAACUCUACUGCCUGGACAGUCACACCAGUUGUCAUGUAAAGCCUCUGGGUUCACAUUCAGUAGCUAUGGCAUGCACUGGGUUCGUCAGACUCCUGGUAAAGGACUGGAAUGGGUGGCAGCAAUAAGUGAUAGCGGUAGUAGCCAGUGGUAUGCAAAAUCUGUUGAGGGACGAUUUACCAUCAGCAGAGACAAUUCCAACAACAUGCUGUACUUAAAGAUGAACAGCCUGCAGACUACAGACAUGGCCGUGUAUUACUGUGUUGGAGACACACAGUUAGGAAAGGGAAGUGCCAAUCAUGACAAAAACUAA